ACUAACCAGGAUUCCCCCAGUAACCGCGAGUGAACGGGGAUUAGCCCAGCAUCGAAGCCUACGGUCUUUUGAUCGUAAGGCCAUGUGAUGUUUCAGGCUGUGCCUAGGGUUGCUGAUCAACUUGAAAUCCAUAAUUGAAAGUGGUUGUAGUGAUACAGCCCAAAGCGGGUGAUAGGCCCGUACAGGUUGAUUAAUGAUUGUAAAGUAACCUCUAGAUGCACAGUCUGUGGAGUCGGAUUGCUUGAGAGUGCAGUCCAAAGUUGGUGGUAAACUCCAUCAAAGGCUAAAUACUGGCACGAGUCCGAUAGCGAACAAGUACCGUGAGGGAAAGUUGAAAAGUACUCUGAAGAGAGAGUAAAUAGUACGUGAAACCACAUAGAGGUAAACGGGUGGAGUCCAGCUGCGU
rnacentral:rRNA from 1 species